rnacentral:tRNA from 1 species
UAGCUCAGCUGGUUAGAGCGCACGCCUGAUAAGCGUGAGGUCGAUGGUUCGAGUCCA